UAGGGAAUCUUCGGCAAUGGACGAAAGUCUGACCGAGCAACGCCGCGUGAGUGAAGAAGGUUUUCGGAUCGUAAAACUCUGUUGUUAGAGAAGAACAAGGACGUUAGUAACUGAACGUCCCCUGACGGUAUCUAACCAGAAAGCCACGGCUAACUACGUGCCAGCAGCCGCGGUAAUACGUAGGUGGCAAGCGUUGUCCGGAUUUAUUGGGCGUAAAGCGAGCGCAGGCGGUUUCUUAAGUCUGAUGUGAAAGCCCCCGGCGCAACCGGGGAGGGUCAUUGGAAACUGGGAGACUUGAGUGCAGAAGAGGAGAGUGAAAUUCCAUGUGUAGCGGUGAAAUGGGUAGAUAUAUGGAGGAACACCAGUGGCGAAGGCGGCUCUCUGGUCUGUAACUGACGCUGAGGCUCGAAAGCGUGGGGAGCAAACAGG
rnacentral:rRNA from 1 species